rnacentral:rRNA from 1 species
UGAAUACGAGAUGCUACGGCGUCGAAGCAGUGUAUGUCAGACUUCCAAGAAAAGCUCGCAAUGUCAUAAAUAAAGAAUGCCUGUACCAUAACCGACACAGGUGGGUAGGUAGAGUAUACUAAGGGGCGCGAGAUAACUCUCUCUAAGGAACUCGGCAAAAUAACUCCGUAACUUCGGGAGAAGGAGUGCCUUCUUUAAGAAGGUUGCAAUAACAAGAUCCAAGCAACUGUUUAUCAAAAACACAGGUCUCCGCUAAGUCGUAAGACGAUGUAUGGGGGCUGACGCCUGCCCAGUGCCAGAAGGUUAAAGAAGUUGGUUAGCUUUUGCGAAGCUGAUGACUGAAGCCCUGGUGAACGGCGGCCGUAACAAUAACGGUCCAAAGGUAGCGAAAUUCCUUGUCGGGUAAGUUCCGACCCGCACGAAAGGCGUAAUGAUUUGGAUACUGUCUCGGAGAGGGACUCGGUGAAAUAGACUUGUCUGUGAAGAUGCGGACUACCUGCACCAGGACAGAAAGACCCUAUGAAGCUUUACUGUAACUUGAAAUUGAAAUUGGACUUUAUUUGCGCAGCAUAGGUGGAAGGCGUUGAAGUAAUCUUGCGGGAUUAGUGGAGCCAUCAGUGAGAUACCACUCCUAUAAUGUUAGAUUUCUAACUUUGGAUCAUGAUCUGGUCAAAGAACAGUUUCAGGCGGGCAGUUUGACUGGGGCGGUCGCCUCCCAAAUGGUAACGGAGGCGUACAAAGGUUUCCUCUGAACGGGUAGAAGUCGUAUCUAGAGUGUAAAGGCAUAAGGAAGCUUGACUGUGAGACCUACAAGUCGAGCAGGGACGAAAGUCGGUCUUAGUGAUCCGACGGUGCUGAGUGGAAAGGCCGUCACUCAACGGAUAAAAGUUACUCUAAGGAUAACAGGCUGAUCUCCCCCAAGAGUUCACAUCGACGGGGAGGUUUGGCACCUCGAUGUCGGCUCAUCGCAUCCUGGGGCGGUAGUACGUCCCAAGGGUUGGGCUGUUCGCCCAUGAAAGCGGUACGCGAGCUGGGUUCAGAACGUCGUGAGACAGUUCGGUCCAUAUCCGGUGUAGGCGUUAGAAUAUUGAGAGGAGCCUUCUUUAGUACGAGAGGACCGAGAAGGACAUACCUCUGGUGUACCAGUUAUCGUGCCAACGGUAAACGCUGGGUAGCUAUGUAUGGAGAGGAUAACCGCUGAAAGCAUCUAAGUGGGAAGCCCACCUCAAGAUGAGUAUUCCC